rnacentral:rRNA from 1 species
UACGGAGGGUGCGAGCGUUAAUCGGAAUUACUGGGCGUAAAGAGUGCGUAGGUGGUUAAUUAAGUUAUCUGUGAAUCCCUGGGCUUAACCUGGGCAGGUCAGAUAAUACUGAUUGACUCGAGUAUGGGAGAGGGUAGUGGAAUUUCCGGUGUAGCGGUGAAAUGCGUAGAGAUCGGAAAGAACACCAACGGCGAAAGCACUCUGCUGGGCCGACACUGACACUGAGAGACGAAAGCUAGGGGAGCGAAUGGG